rnacentral:tRNA from 1 species
CCCUCAUAGCUCAGUCAGUAAAGAAUCUGCCUGCAGUGCAGGAGAUCCAGGUUCAAUUCCUGGAUCAGGAA